AUGAAGAAGACCGUGGUCCUGUACCCUGGCCUCGGCGUCGGCCACCUGGUGCCGAUGGUCGAGGUUGCCAAGCUGUUCCUCAAGCACGGCCUGGCCGUCACCUUGGCGCUCGUCGAGCCGCAGGUCAAGUCCACGGACUUCUCCGCCGCGGUCGCCCGCGCGAGGGCCUCCAACCCCUCCGUCGACUUCCACGUCCUGCCGUCGCCGCCCGCCGAUUCCAACCCCGACAGCGGGCCCAGGCACCACGUCGUCAAGGUUAUCCUCCCGCCGCCCGCCGUCCUGCCGUCGCCGCCCGCCGCCAUGAACGCGCCCCUCCGCGACUUCCUCCGCUCGCUGCCCGCCGUCCACGCGCUCGUCCUCGACAUGUUCUGCGUCGACGCCCAGGACGUCGCAGCCGAGCUCAAGCUGCCGGUCUACUACUCGUUCGCCUCCGCUGCCGGCGACCUCGCCAUCUUCCUCAACCUGCCGAGCAAGUUCGCCAGCAAUACGGCCAAGGUAAAAGAGCUCGGCGACUCCAUCAUCACCUUCCCGGGUGUUCCUCCUUUCAAGGCUUCGGAGCUGCCGUCCGAAGUUAUCGCCGACGAUGAAGCACUCGUGUACGUCUUACGCAUGUUUCAGCGAAUGGCGGAGGCGAAAGGAAUUCUUAUAAAUUCCUUCGACUCGCUGGAAAAGCCCGCACUGAGCGCUCUCAGCGAAGGACUUUGCGUCCCUGGUCGUGCGACGCCGCCGGUCUACUGCAUCGGGCCGUUGGUCUCUGGAGGCGGAGACAAGGAGCACGAGUGCCUCCGCUGGCUGGACGCGCAGCCGGACCAGAGCGUAGUGUUCCUCUCCUUCGGCAGCCUGGGCACAUUCACCAGUAAGCAGCUAGAGGAAAUUGCAAUUGGUUUGGAGAAGUCAGGGGAGAGGUUCCUGUGGGUUGUGCGGAGCCCGCGCAGUCCCGACCAGAAGCACGGGGAUCCGCUGCCGGAGCCUGACCUCGAGGCGCUCAUGCCGGAAGGGUUCUUGGAGAAGACCAAGGACAGAGGGCUCGUGGUGAAGUCUUGGGCGCCGCAGGUGGAGGUCCUGCGUCACAGGGCAACCGGCGCAUUCAUGACGCACUGCGGCUGGAACUCGACACUGGAGGGCAUCACGGCAGGGUUGCCGCUGCUGUGCUGGCCGCUGUACGCGGAGCAGAAGGUGAACAAGGUGCACAUAGUGGAGGGAAUGAAGCUUGGGGUGGAGAUGAGAGGCUACAAUGAAGAGGUGGUUAAGGCUGAGGAGGUGGAGGAGAAGGUCAGAUGGGUUAUGGCGCUCCAGGAAGGGGGCUCGUCCAACUUGGCGUUUGCCCAAUUCCUAAAAGACGUGGAUGUGAAGCUUGUAAACCUACUUAAUGCUGGAUUUUCUUUUUAG
rnacentral:rRNA from 1 species